UUCAGUCGGAUCAUCGCUGAUCUUACCUGUCUUUAAUGACAGAAGUGACAUGUUUACAUCUAAAUAGGAAACAUAGAAGUUAGGAUUAAGAAUAGGCCACUCGACCCAUCAGAUCCGUUCCACCAUUCAACAUGAAGGGACAGAUGAGGAGAUGUUAAUGGACAAAGGGACCUGGGUAACCUUGCACACUGGUCACUGGAAAUAAGCACAUAGAUUCAGCAAACAGAAGGAAGGUGAAUGGUUAAAACAAUGAGACGGAAUCUCACCAAAACACGUAACAUUCUGACAGGAUGCAUGGAUGAUGUUUCCCCUUACUGACAGUCUUUCUCAGGAUAUGCAGCAGGUCAUUUUGGACUGAGAUGAGGAGAAAUUUCUUCAGUCAGGAAGGUACUGGAAUAAGACAAAUUAAGAAUGCCAGAUGAUACAAUGUCUUCAGUUCAACACAAUGAGAUUACAGAGAUGAGGAAUAUGUAGAACAAACUGUUGGAGAAAUAUGGAACCUUAGCGCUGCAAUUUCUGAAAACGUGCAGCCUCCAAGAAACACCACAAGAAUAAUACGUUGCGCACUGCAAGAAUACCCUGCAUCCAAGGACCUUUCUAGAAGAAAACACAAGGACAGCACUUUAAGUACAUUAUCAACAGAGCAACAAUUUGGGAUUCGAUCACAAUACAUGUUACGAAGUAUAUUUCUCCUCCAAUCCCUUACAGCUCCCAACGUAAAAUAUAAAGUCGCUAUGUUCCCAAAGGACGAUAGAGCAGCUCUCUCAUUAGAGAUGAUUGGUUUAUGGUUAACCUGAGGGUCACAAGACUUAAGGCAAGAAGUGAGAUUGAGAAGGUGGGACCUUCAUGGUAAUCUCAGCUGGUAUGGGAAUUGACACUGCCUCUGAUACCUGACAGUUCCAUUGAGUAAGUUACACUAGUUUUUUUUUGGGGGGGCAAGAGAUCGGGGAGUGGAGUGGAGAUAGUGGUAUUGAGGAAUCGCUGAUUAACUACACUUUCAGCCAUGUAUUGCAGACACUAAUCUCUCACUGCAAGAAAAAGAGAUUUUCUAAAAUUGAUUUUGCUUCUUUUGCAACUUACUUAAAAUCUCUUCUGUCUCAUCCUUGAUCUGUUCACAUGCAGGAACAGUUUCUCCUUAAUUACACUGUCCUGGCCUCUGCGUUUGAAUACCCCUAUCAGAUCUCAUCUCAGCCUGUUCUUCUCUAAGGAAAACAGUCCUAACUUCUCCGAUCUAUCUUCACAACUGAAAUUUAAGCUGCUAUUAGUAAUGCCUACAGUGGUGUUUGCUUUAUUUCCACCUGACCAGCCACCUUUAAUGGCUUAUGCAUAUACACCCAGGCACAAAUGCUCCUACUUCCCCUUUAGAGUUGUGCCCUUUAGUUUAUGUUGACUGCCUAUGUUCAGCUUAUUAAAAUGAAUCACCUGUCAUUUCUCUGUACUGAAUUUCAUCUGCUGGCUCUUUGCCCAUUCCACUGUCAAUGGACUAAUAAUAGAAUCCCAGAUUAAUGCUCUGGUAAUUUGGGUUUCAUUCCCACCACAGCAGCUGGUGGACAUGACUUCAAUUAAUUUUUUAAAAUCUUGAUUAUAAAACAAAGCUCAGUAGGCAUGACCAUAUCAACUAUCACAACUGUUAUAAAACUCCAUCUGCUUUAACUAACUUCCUAUUGGGGAAGGAAGUCUGCCAUUUUUUCCCCUCUAAAUGGCUCCAGGUCCAAAACAAAGUGGUUCACUCUUAGGAAGUCACUUAGUUCAACAGCAAUGAGCAGUGUGAAGCAAACAUCAACAUCCCACGAAAGAACAAAAAGAUGACUAAUUAUUUCUGCACAACCUUUGAUGGGGAAAUUGUAAAGGUUAUUCUUCUGUUGAGGAAAUGCAAUUCUGUACUCAAGACAUCCAGUCAAAUGGCUGUUCCCAUACACAAAGCAUCAGCAAGUUGUUACAAGGCUGUCUACGUCCAUAAGACACCAAUACUCAAGUACCCCUUUAAACCACACAUCCUGAUAAGGAAAUAUAUCAUUGUUCCUUCACUGUCGCUACCGCCAUUAAGGCAUGUGGGUCUUCCUACACCACAUGCAGUGCACCAGUUCAAAUAGGCAGCUCACCACCAACUUCUCCAGUGUGGUUUGGGAUGGGUGAUAAAUGUUGAUCCAAACCAACAAUUCCUACAUCCCAUGAAUGGAUAGAAAAAGAAAAGAAAAGAGACCACAUGGUGGGGGAAGACAGACAAUGCAACUGCUUGUGGCACUCUGGAGAGAGCAUUAGCAUGCCUUCAAAUCUCAAAUCUGAACCACAGUCUUACCUAUAGUAAUAAACUCAUUGUUGUUUAGUAACCGUGACACCUCCUCCAUUCCUGCCCAGCUGCCACGCUCUAGUACCUGAUGGAAUACAAAGAGUUGUCACACAGAACACGGGAUAGAGAAAGAAAAACAGCAUGACAUGCAUUUAUAUAGCACCUGCAUCACAGCAAAAUACUCCAAGGAUUAUCAUAAAAGCAAGAGCAAAAUGUUAGUCAGAUGUUAAGAAAAGUAAAGGAAGUGACUAAACAUCAGAGGUAAAGGUGGGAGAGAUGUAGCAUGUUGAAGAGUCCUCUGAUCAAAGGCACACUGGAGUUGAAAGUAUUUGAUGCAGAAGCUGAGGAUGGUAUUGCUGUGAUCUGUUGCAAAGUAGUUUAGCAAUAGGAUGAUCAUCAGCACGUACAAAAAGUACAGACACAACUAUAAGUUCAUUGAUUAUAACAAGAAAAGUUGUAAACAAAGUUCAGGAAAUAUAUGUACACACUA